rnacentral:lncRNA from 1 species
UAGCCUUCUGUCCCACCCUUGCCACCACUGCCUGGCUUGCCACCCCUCGACAGGUCCAUGCUCCUGGACAUGAGGUGGCUGGCUCUGCUGGACGUGGAGGUGAAGGUUGUCGUGUGACCUGGGGUAAGUAUUGUUAUAGGUGAUAAUUUGCUAUAUGAAAUAACUCUGUCACAGUCAGACUGAUGGUUGCGAGGUCUCUGUAUUUAGUUUGUGAAAAUAGAAAAUUCCACCAACAGUUCCCCCUCGUCCCCAGGGUGUGCCUCCCCCAGGACCAGAGAGGCGGCGCAGCAGCCGAGCCACACACGACACGUCGCUGUGACGAGUUUCCACUGCUGCCAAGGCUGUGGCGGGACAUCCUGGACGCAGCUAGCGCAGCCCCGGGGACAUCUGCAGGGGCGGAGGGGGAAAAGGGCCGUGAAAGCCAACCGGAGUCAGGCAGGGAGUUUUCCUCCGAAGAAUCACCGUCAUCUCUCCAGAUGUCUCCGGGGCCUAAUUCGGAGGACGACCAGGCAGUGAUGGAGCCUUUAGUUUAACUGUUUCAUCCAAUUUUUAAAGGUUUCUAAGACAGUUUUUGUGGUCCAAUGCACAGGAUCUCGGUCGUGCACUGUGAAAACAUUGGCUUCCACCAUUUUUUGUUGUAAAAUGUUUUAGCAAAAAGAUGUUUGUUUGUUUUGCUAGUCGUUGUGUUUUAGGGGCAAGUUGGUCUGAACAUUUUAUUUGCCUUGGUUUGCUGCAUGACUCAUGAUUUAAAAUAUUAUUAUUACUAUUAUUACAUAUUACCUUAUGUUCUCUACAUUGUCAUGCAUAGCACUUACUGUGUAUUAUGACUCCUCUGGAGCAGAUUCACACUUCCAACAGCUUGGCUGCAGAUCUGGACUCUCCACUGACACCUGCAGCGCACCGGACCCACACACAAUUUUAGAACUAAUCAUCCUCUACCUAACCCUAACCCAGGGGGAGAAGAGCCGUGAGAUGCUUCCGGAGUAAGACUGGGAGAUUUACUCGGACGAAUCACAGAGUCCCUGUCUGACUCUGGUUGGCUCUCCUAGGUCGCCUCCUGCGUUUUCCCCGCAGUCAUCUCUCCAUGUCUCCGGGGCCUAAUUCGGAGGAUGAC